UAACCCUGGGAAACUGGGGCUAAUACCGGAUAGGCAAUUAUUCCUGCAAUGGUUUUUUGUUUAAAUGUUUUUUCGCCUAAGGAUGGGUCUGCGGCCGAUUAGGUAGUUGGUUAGGUAAUGGCUUACCAAGCCGUUGAUCGGUACGGGUUGUGAGAGCAAGAGCCCGGAGAUGGAACCUGAGACAAGGUUCCAGGCCCUACGGGGUGCAGCAGGCGCGAAACCUCCGCAAUGUGAGAAAUCGCGACGGGGGGAUCCCAAGUGCCAUUCUUAACGGGAUGGCUUUUCAUUAUUGUAAAGAGCUUUUGGAAUAAGAGCUGGGCAAGACCGGUGCCAGCCGCCGCGGUAACACCGGCAGCUCUAGUGGUAACAAUUUUUAUUGGGCCUAAAGCGUCCGUAGCCGGUUUAAUAAGUCUCUGGUGAAAUCCUGUAGCUUAACUGUGGGAAUUGCUGGAGAUACUAUUAGACUUGAGACCGGGAGAGGUUAGAGGUACUCCCAGGGUAGAGGUGAAAUUCUGUAAUCCUGGGAGGACCGCCUGUUGCGAAGGCGUCUAACUGGAACGGUUCUGACGGUGAGGGACGAAAGUUAGGGGCGCGAACCGGAUUAGAUACCCGGGUAGUCCUAACUGUAAACGAUGCGGACUUGGUGUUGGGGUGGCUUUGAGCUGCUCCAGUGCCGAAGGGAAGCUGUUAAGUCCGCCGCCUGGGAAGUACGGUCGCAAGACUGAAACUUAA
rnacentral:rRNA from 1 species